rnacentral:tRNA from 11 species
GAGCCAUUAGCUCAGCUGGCAGAGCAUCUGACUUUUAAUCAGAGGGUCGGAGGUUCGAAUCCUCCAUGGCUCA